rnacentral:rRNA from 1 species
ACUCAAAGGAAUUGACGGGGACCCGCACAAGCGGUGGAGCAUGUGGAUUAAUUCGAUACUAACCGAAGAACCUUACCCAGGUUUGACAUCGAUCGUAAGCUCUAGAGAUAGGGCCCUCUUCCACAAGAAGACGUGAAGACACUUGUUGCAUGGCUGUCGUCAGCUCGUGCCGUGAGGUGUACGGUUAAGUCCGCCAACGAGCGCAACCCUCGUCCUGUGUUACCAGCGAUUAAAGUCGGGAACUCACAGGAGACCGCCGGUGUAAGCCGGAGGAAGGUGAGGAUGACGUCAAGUCAGCAUGGCAGUUACGCCUGGGGCUUCACACAUGCUACAAUGGAUGAAACAAAGGGCAGCGAUACCGCGAGGUGGAGCCAAUCCCAAAAAUACAUCCCCAGUUCAGAUUGCAGUCUGCAACUCGACUGCAUGAAGGCGGAAUCGCUAGUAAACGCAGGUCAGCUAUACUGCGUUGAAUACGUUCCCGGGUCUUGUACACACCGCCCGU